UACGUAGGGUGCGAGCGUUGUCCGGAAUUAUUGGGCGUAAAGAGCUCGUAGGCGGUUUGUCGCGUCUGCUGUGAAAACUCAGGGCUUAACUCUGAGCUUGCAGUGGGUACGGGCAGACUUGAGUGCGGUAGGGGAGACUGGAAUUCCUGGUGUAGCGGUGAAAUGCGCAGAUAUCAGGAGGAACACCGGUGGCGAAGGCGGGUCUCUGGGCCGUAACUGACGCUGAGGAGCGAAAGCAUGGGGAGCGAACAGG
rnacentral:rRNA from 1 species